CCCGCUGAACUUAAGCAUAUCAAUAAGCGGAGGAAAAGAAACCAACAGGGAUUGCCCUAGUAACGGCGAGUGAAGCGGCAACAGCUCAAAUUUGAAAUCUGGCUCUCGGGCCCGAGUUGUAAUUUGUAGAGGAUACUUUUGAUGCGGUGCCUUCCGAGUUCCCUGGAACGGGACGCCAUAGAGGGUGAGAGCCCCGUCUGGUUGGAUGCCAAAUCUCUGUAAAGUUCCUUCAACGAGUCGAGUAGUUUGGGAAUGCUGCUCUAAAUGGGAGGUAUAUGUCUUCUAAAGCUAAAUACCGGCCAGAGACCGAUAGCGCACAAGUAGAGUGAUCGAAAGAUGAAAAGCACUUUGAAAAGAGAGUUAAAAAGUACGUGAAAUUGUUGAAAGGGAAGCGUUUAUGACCAGACUUGGGCUUGGUUAAUCAUCUGGGGUUCUCCCCAGUGCACUUUUCCAGUCCAGGCCAGCAUCAGUUUUCCCCGGGGGAUAAAGGCGGCGGGAAUGUGGCUCUCUUCGGGGAGUGUUAUAGCCCACCGUGUAAUACCCUGGGGGGGACUGAGGUUCGCGCAUCUGCAAGGAUGCUGGCGUAAUGGUCAUCAACGACCCGUCUUGAAACACGG
rnacentral:rRNA from 1 species